rnacentral:rRNA from 1 species
UGCCAGCCGCCGCGGUAACACGGGGGGCGCAAGCGUUAUUCGGAAUUAUUGGGCGUAAAGGGCGCGCAGGCGGUCUUGUCCGUCAGGUGUGAAAGCUCGGGGCUCAACCCCGGGAGGCCGGUCGAAACUGUUGUGACUAGAGUUCGGUAGAGGUGAGUGGAAUUCCCGGUGUAGCGGUGGAAUGCGCAGAUAUCGGGAGGAACACCAUUAGCGAAGGCGGCUCACUGGGCCGAUACUGACGCUGAGGAGCGAAAGCGUGGGGAGCAAACAGGAUUAGAUA